UGUUUACUUAAGAUCCAAUUAGAUGAAUGUUGUUUAUUUUUCCAUAUAGUUUCUAUUUAGAAAGGCCUCAUAUGCAAGUUGGGGACAUGCCGUGAACAUAUGGUUUUGUGAUCUAUGGUCUUGAGUCAUAUGUUGGAUGGGUGAUAAUGGAAAUUUUCUUGAGGAUAAACCCGUGCAUAAGUUUUGUGAGAGUUAAACCUGUUUUAUGAGAGGUAAAGCUGUUUUUUGAGAGUUAAACCCGUGCAUAUGAAUGUAUUUUGUUUAGAACUGGUCAAACUAUUUUUUGUGAGAGUUAAAGUUGUUUUCUGGAGGACAAACCCGUGAAUAAGUUUCUCAUCUGUAUAGAUUAAUUAAUAGGAUGGCAAUUUAAGUUUAUUGGAGCUCUUUUUAAGAAGUGGGGGUCUGCUUUGGUUUCUUGCUGUUUGCAUAUUCUCUUAAAAACACUUGACUGACUGUAGCUGACUGUUUAUACAUCAAUAAUAUGGGCAGUUGAAUAUGGCGUUUUCAAGUGAAGGAUUUCAAAAAUCUAAUAUGGCAUGCCUAUUUUACAUGGAAAAACAAAUGGUACCUUAUUUACUAUUUAGUUUUUAAGCAAGACUAAUUUGACUACACGCGUCCUGAGGUGCCUUCUGUUUUGGAAUAGUCAUAGAAUGCUCCUUAUUACGAGAUGUUCCUUUGUCACUAUUUGAAGUUCUGCCUUGGGUGGCCUUUGUCUUAGUUUAUAGCUUCAUAUGGCUACCUAUGUAUAACAUAUGUAUGUUCUGUUUGAACCGUCUCAAAUCACAUAGAGAUGUUAAAUUUUCAAUUUGUUGCCUCGCGGUCGUGUGCCAUCACCAUGUUUACUCCAGAAAAGUGGAAUGUGCAGAGUUUCAGUGUUGAUUAGUCAAAUAUUUGCUUUGCCUUAAAGACUGUCCCCAUCUAUGUUCCAGGUUGUGGCAACACUGCAGAUAUGCCCAUUGCCAUCGAGCAUUUCUAUUUAUAUGCUUCUACAGAGUAUUUGGUUUUUGUACUGUACACUUGAUGAAAUAAUUUCCUUAUAAGCUGGGACAAGGCAUUUGUAGUUGAUAUUUGUACUAUAAGCUCAAUUUUUUUGGUUCAUCUCAUCUCUGGUUAUUUUUUCGUUUUUUGUGUUUCUGCAGCAUAUUAUCAUUAGCAUAUAAAACCUCUUAUAUUUCUUGUUUUCGACAAUUAUUCUUUGGCAGGGAAGACUAUGAUAACACUAAGAUUAUCAGGAAAGGAUUCAGGGAUUUUUUUGAAUCCAGAUUAUCACACAUGAUGCAAAAUUAACAACCACGACUUUGAAAUAUGGAUGAUGAUGCUUAUUAUGUGCUAGAAAUCAAAUAUGUAAAGGAGAAGAUAAUGUUUGUGAAGGUGUGUAUACUGAACAAGCAUCCUGAUUGAUUUGUUUUUCUGUUGUUUCUUGAUGUGCCCUCAUGCAGCUGUGUCCAUAUAUACUGAUUGUUAUACUUAUUGCUGUGUGAGUUGCAGGAGAGGGGAGAGAGAUACGGGUUGAUUCUGGGUAAACUUUGCUUAAUUUGUUGGAGAAAAUGCUUGAUAGAUCUCAUGGAUGGAUAAGGUUGUGGCAGUAGUUCUCGGGUGCAAUAUCUAUCUUGAUAGAGUGAUCAACCAGGGCACAUUAGAAGCAGAAGAAGAGGAAAUGUUUGGGCCGUCUAUGGCGUUGAAGAUUCAGUGUUUCUGUCUUGUGUACAUGCACGGCCAGUUCAGUAACUAGAUGGCCUUUUCUACUGUACUGGUGCUGCUACUUUUCACAUGCUAGCUUCUUUGGAAAGCGCCAACAGUGUGUACAACAUGUAAAGAGUCCAUCUUGAAGGAACGGAAGCAGAAGUAUGGAGCUGAUGUAUUAAUGGUCAAUCAAGGAAUUCAGUCUCGAUGAGCUUAACUAAUGAUGUGUGAGUUGAGCCUUAGGUCAUUUUCAAAGUAACGGAAGUACAAGAGAUUACUUGAAAAUACACAUUUUUUUAAUGCGACAUGGUCUUAAGUGCGAUUUUAUACCACCAAAUUAAAAUGUGGUAUAUCUCAUUGUAGACAACAAGCCUACAUUUUUAUUUUAUUUUAUUAAAGGGGUUAAACUUGUUAUCGUAUGUGUUUGCCCACAACUAAAUCAAAACAUGAUUUUUUUUCAAUGUGAACAUGGAUUCAAUGGGUCUAUGCACCAUUUGACGCUGGUCCUUGCAAAAUGAAACUAUUUUCAUCGACAACAUAGCGGGUCUCUGCGUCAUUUGGCACAACUGGUCAACUAGUAUUAGUAGAUGUCAAGAAAUGCCUAUGAACUAUUAUCUUGUUAUUG
rnacentral:lncRNA from 1 species